AUUGAACGCUGGCGGCAGGCUUAACACAUGCAAGUCGAGCGGAGCGAGGGUGCUUGCACCUUAGCUUAGCGGCGGACGGGUGAGUAAUGCUUAGGAAUCUGCCUAUUAGUGGGGGACAACAUUCCGAAAGGGAUGCUAAUACCGCAUACGCCCUACGGGGGAAAGCAGGGGAUCUUCGGACCUUGCGCUAAUAGAUGAGCCUAAGUCGGAUUAGCUAGGUGGUGGGGUAAAGGCCUACCAAGGCGACGAUCUGUAGCGGGUCUGAGAGGAUGACCCGCCACACUGGGACUGAGACACGGCCCAGACUCCUACAGGAGGCAGCAGUGGGGAAUAAUGGACAAUGGGGAACCCUGAUCCAGCCAUGCCGCGUGUGUGAAGAAGGCCUUUUGGUUGUAAAGCACUUUAGGCGAGGAGGAGGCGCUCUAGGAUAAUACCCUAGAUGCGUGGACGUUACUCGCAGAAUAAGCACCGGCUAACUCUGUGCCAGCCGCCGCCGUAAAAC
rnacentral:rRNA from 1 species